UCCGGCUUAUCACCGGCAGUUUCUUUAGAGUGCCCAACUAAAUGGUAGCAACUAAAGACGAGGGUUGCGCUCGUUGCGGGACUUAACCCAACAUCUCACGACACGAGCUGACGGCAGCCAUGCAGCACCGGUGCGCCACCCUCGAAGGCUACCAGGUUUCCCUGGUAUGCAGGCGCAUGUCAAGCCUGGGUAAGGUUCUUCGUGUGCCGUCGAAUUAGACCACACGCUCCGCUGCUUGUGCGGGCCCCCGUCAAUUCCUUUGAGUUUUAGCCUUGCGGCCGUACUCCCCAGGCGGGGCACUUAAUGCGUUAGCUUCGGCACGGAAGGAGUCGACACCUCCCACACCUAGUGCCCAUCGUUUACGGCGUGGACUAC
rnacentral:misc_RNA from 1 species